rnacentral:rRNA from 1 species
ACAACUUUCAACAACGGAUCUCUUGGCUCUCGCAUCGAUGAAGAACGCAGCGAAAUGCGAUAAGUAAUGUGAAUUGCAGAAUUCAGUGAAUCAUCGAAUCUUUGAACGCACCUUGCGCCCCUUGGUAUUCCGAGGAGCAUGCCUGUUUGAGUGUCAUAAA